rnacentral:rRNA from 1 species
AUUGAACGCUGGCGGCAGGCUUAACACAUGCAAGUCGAGCGGAGUGAUGGUGCUUGCACUAUCACUUAGCGGCGGACGGGUGAGUAAUGCUUAGGAAUCUGCCUAUUAGUGGGGGACAACAUCUCGAAAGGGAUGCUAAUACCGCAUACGUCCUACGGGAGAAAGCAGGGGAUCACUUGUGACCUUGUGCUAAUAGAUGAGCCUAAGUCGGAUUAGCUAGUUGGUGGGGUAAAGGCCUACCAAGGCGACGAUCUGUAGCGGGUCUGAGAGGAUGAUCCGCCACACUGGGACUGGGACACGGCCCAGACUCCUACGGGAGGCAGCAGUGGGGAAUAUUGGACAAUGGGGGGAACCCUGAUCCAGCCAUGCCGCGUGUGUGAAGAAGGCCUUAUGGUUGUAAAGCACUUUAAGCGAGGAGGAGGCUCUUUUGGUUAAUACCCAAGAUGAGUGGACGUUACUCGCAGAAUAAGCACCGGCUAACUCUGUGCCAGCCGCCGCAGUAA